CGUUGAAACACGGGUUCCCGUAAGAUCACAAAAGUUAAGCAAUGUCUAGCCUGCUCAGUACCUAGAUGGGUGACUGCAUAGGAAUACCAGGUGCUGUAAG